rnacentral:rRNA from 1 species
UGCGGUUAAAAGCUCGUAGUUGGAUUUCUGUCUGUGAGCGGCAGACCGGCCUUCGUGUUUGGUACUUGUCGCGCCAUAGGCAUCUUCCUGGGGACUGUGUCCUGCUCUUCGCUGAGUGGCGCAUAAUCCAGGACUUUUACUUUGAAGAAAUAGGAGUGUUUCAAGCAGGCAUGCGCCGUGAACACGUUAGCAUGGAAUAAUAGCAUCGGACCUCGUUCCAAAGCUGUUGGUUUCUUGGACCGAGGUAAAGGUGAAUAGGGAUUGUUGGGGGCAUUCGUAUUUAACUGUCAGAGGUGAAAUUCUUGGAUUUGUUGAAGACGGACUACUGCGAAAGCAUCUGCCAAAGAUGUUCUCAUUGAUCAAGAACGAAAGUUAGGUGAUCGAAGACGAUCAGAUACCGUUUUUUUUCUUAACCAUAAACUAUGCCGACUGGAGAUCGGAGGUCGUUACUUAUAUGACGCCUUCUGCAUCUUGAGAGAAAUCAAAGUCUUUGGGUUCCGGGGGGAGUAUGGUCGCAAGGCUGAAACUUAAAGGAAUUGACGGAAGGGCACCACCAGGAGUGGAGCCUGCGGCUUAAUUUGACUCAACACGGGGAAACUUACCAGGUCCAGACAUAGUGAGGAUUGACAGACUGAUAGCUCUUUCGAGAUUCUAUGGGUGGUGGUGCAUGGCCGUUCUUAGUUGGUGGAGUGAUUUGUCUGGUUAAUUCCGUCAACGAACGAGACCUUAGCCUGCUAAAUAGGAUCCCCAACUUUCUAGUUGACGGAGGCCUUCUUAGAGGGACGUCGCGUGUCUAACGCGAGGAAGUGUGAGGCAAUAACAGGUCUGUGAUGCCCUUAGAUGUUCUGGGCUGCACGCGCGCUACACUGAUGCGUUCAACGAGUGUUCUUACCUGCUCUGGAAAGAGUGGGCAACCUUGUGAAAGCGCAUCGUGAUGGGGAUAGAUUAUUGC